rnacentral:lncRNA from 1 species
UGAGUGCCCAGCAGUGUGGCCUGAAUCUCCGUGGAGUUUAGGGAGACGAAAGGACCCCAGAUCGACGUCCCCUCGUUCCCACUUUGGGGAUCGGCGCUCUGGCUGUUUCGUGAAGGAGAGAGAGGAACUCAGAGUGGUUUUCCAGAUGGGAAUCACAUUGCUCUCUGUCCCUGAGAUCUUGCUGGAGACAGGGCUACUCAGUCCCUCUUUGCCAGGUAAUCUGUUCCAGAAGAAACAUGUGUCGUUCUGACUAAGCCCCUGCGUGUCUGUCACCUUAAGAGCCAGUCAAUUCAUAUGGUCCCCAUAUCAAAGUCUCCUGUGCCCAGAGAGAGGAUUUCAUUUCAACCAUCACCAUCACCACCAUCAUCAUCAUCACCAAGAGGGGUUGUUGAAUUGAUAUUGGAAAAGCAGUUUCUAUUGAGCCCCCAAAUGAAGAGUGAGUGCAGAUGAAGAGGAGGCAGGACUCACAAGCCCUUGACCUUCAUUCCAGAUCCGUUAGCACCUACAGGAUCCUGCACCGGGAUUUCAUCUGUACUAUCAGCUUCUUCAAAGAGAGAGAGGUUGUUGA